rnacentral:rRNA from 1 species
AACGAACGCUGGCGGCAGGCCUAACACAUGCAAGUCGAGCGGGCGUAGCAAUACGUCAGCGGCAGACGGGUGAGUAACACGUGGGAACGUGCCCUUCAGUUCGGAACAACCCAGGGAAACUUGGGCUGAUACCGGAUACGCCCCGGACUUGAUCCGGGGGAAAGAUUUAUCGCUGAAGGAUCGUCCCGCGUCUGAUUAGCUGGUUGGUGAGGUAAUGGCUCACCAAGGCGACGAUCAGUAGCUGGUCUGAGAGGAUGAUCAGCCACACUGGGACUGAGACACGGCCCAGACGCCUACGGGAGGCAGCAGUGGGGAAUAUUGGACAAUGGGCGCAAGCCUGAUCCAGCCAUGCCGCGUGAGUGAUGAAGGCCCUAGGGUUGUAAAGCUCUUUCGGCGGGGAAGAUAAUGACGGUACCCGCAGAAGAAGCCCCGGCUAACUUCGUGCCAGCAGCCGCGGUAA